GAUAUGGUCCUCUUAAAAUGGGUAUCAAAAGGGAGGUAGAUGAAGCUUUAAGGCCUGGUGUGUAUGCUCUCGUAGACUCUUGCUCUGAUCAGGAUCGUCAGUGUCUCCAUACAGUAUUUGGUGAAGGUCCUUGUAGGAACUAUCUAGCAACUCUGAAACAAGAAUUCGAUUUGAAUUUCAAGUAAGAAGGAAAGGUUUAGAAAAAUCACAAUUACU